CAGUCCUCUUCUUCCACAGGAUGGUUCAGAAGAGCAUCACAAUGUCCCACAGGAUGAUCAGUUCGUGAAUCCAGGUGAACAUCUGAACAAUAUUAAUCCUACAGAGACAUAUGUGAGGGGUGAUGAGCAGAGUACAGAGGACAUUCCUACAGAUAACCGCCCAGAUGACUGGAAUAUAGAGAAACAUCCGGUAUCUUCAGAUUUUGAAGCAGAUGAUUGUGAUUUCAUACAAGAUAUACAUGAAGAGCAUGCCAAGAUCCAAGAUAUACCCUCAUCCAUUCACAGUAAAAAUGUAUCACUUGAUCUUUUUAAAUAUGUCCAAGCUUCUGAUUCAUCACAGACUGUAACAGAAAAUAAAGGUCUCAGAAGAGGUGUUAAACAUCAAACAGCUAAUGUAAGAAAGAAGACAUUUCCAUGUUUAGAAUGUGGUAAAUGUUUUAGCUAUAAAUCAGGAUUUGUUAGACAUGAGAGAAUUCACACAGGGGAGAAGCCCUUUUCAUGUUCAGAAUGUGGGAAA